UGGUGAGAAAUCUGCUUGUCAGUGUCCUGGGGGGAAAAGAAGAGACAGAAGAGGGGCAGGGGAGAGAAAGAGCGCAUCGUUAUUGAGGUAGUCUGCAACCCAGCCCAAGCAGGGCUCACUGCAGUGGCUGGUUAUCACGCAGAAGCUCUUAUCAAGACUACAGCUUGUGGCAAAGGGAGUCAGAGCAUUUGGCCAGGUACAAAGUGCAUUGCUUUCAUUGCUGCUGCCUUCCUCUCCCUAACCUUAGCCAUAAAAAGCUCCAGCCUCGGUAGGGGUACCGUUACUGCGUGCUCCCAAAGUGCUCGGUUAUCACUUCUACUGAUGGAGAGCACACCUCAGGGUUACCAGUGCGUAUAAAUAUGUGCCUGUUUGUCAGCACAAUACCCAAAAUGACUUAUCUGAGGUCUGGGGAUUUUCCCCAAUUGACCUUGUUCUCCAUCGUGAAGCACAAGGGUGACCUUCAGGAGCGUUGGCCUGGCACAAAAACACUUUGGAGAGCGGGACAAAACACUCGUCCUUGCGAACCCAGCGCCUGAAUCUGCCUGUGGGAGGAUGGCUUGGCUUCGGCGAGGAAGUGUCCCGUCUCCAUCGGGAGCUGUUGGUUUCAAAGCCUGCUUUCAGCCCUCCUGCGGGAGGUGGAAGUUCUCGCUCAGCAGCUUGUCUGCUCGCAAGGCAGCGUGAGAGCGGAUGGGGACGGAUUACGGGGAGAGCACACAUGCAGGUCAGACUGGCUCUCGGGAGGUGAUAUGUCACCUCACGCAGUUUCAGUGGCGCAGUGAGAUUGCUGGUGACAGAUCCAGGACAAACAUCUCCAGUGCUGAACUCCAGCGUGAGCCGGGUGCUGUUGGUUCUACGGGGAGGCUCUGCCCUGCUGGGAUCUGCCUGAUGAGAACAAUGACGGUAAUUUAUGGUGCAUUUGCUUUGGGUUUUUGCAUCUGUGUGCUUCCCCUGGCACAUGCCUUAAGCAUGUCUUUCCCUGAGCUGUCUCUGCUUUAAGCUUCGAUGUCUGCAUCCCAUGAAAAGGAGGAUUUGGGAUUUGGUGGCAGGCAUCAGCCAACCUCACUGAGAACCCUCAGCAGGCUGACCUGUGAGAAACCUGAGGCACAGUGAAGGGCAGGGGGUGCUGUGUUUGUGCGGCAGGCAGUGGGCCCUUCUCUCCUGGCAGGGGCAGGGAUCCCACAAAGCUCUCAGGUUCAGGACUUGUGCUGGAGCAGGAGCAAGUCAAGAGGCAGACUGCUCCCACGAAUUCUUGCAGGCUGAGGUGUGCCUGCCACGGUGCAUUCACGCAUCCUGAUGACUUCCCUGGAAGACCCCAGAGACAUCAGAACUUGGCCUUUUUUGGUUAUUGUGCUCCCCAGGGGGGAAACGCAGCUGCAACCAGUCUGAAACAGUUCCAGGAUGGCUGAACAACGCAUCAAGCCAUCCUCUGAAAGGCAGUCAGCUCGCAGGGAUCCUCCUGGGGAGCCAGGAGGGAUGAUGUGCACUCGCUCCUGUUCCAGACGUGGACACGGUGCCCUUCCUCGCCUCCCUGUGAGCAGCCCAUCCCGCACGCAGCCCCCUGUCAGCCA
rnacentral:lncRNA from 1 species